CUUGUUCACUCUUUUUAUUUUUACAAAGCAUGGCAAAAUGAGGAAACCACUGACAGGUGAAGAAUCUGUACAACGGAAAACCACCUUGACCAUCUCAUGAUUUUAUACAAGAAUCGGAGGUAAGUUGUUCCUUUAAAGUGAUUUUGUCAUAAAAGAGUCAUGUGAAAUAACUCUCAUGAUGGAGGAAAGGAAAGAAAUGAAAUCAACAUUCAUGGUUAUUUAAAAUGACUUAAAAGCUAAGCAUAAUAUACAUAGUAACUCCUUUUCCGAGUAUAAAAAUAGUGCCAGAAACUAUAUUUGUUCAAAUAUAUUGAAAAGGUAUAAGAAUACAAAUAGAUAUUAACAGUGGCUAGUGAUGCCUCAUAAGGUUUUCUUUUCUUAAACUGUAAUAUAAAUUUAUAUGUUCAACUAUUUACAUUGCUUUCAACAACAUUCAUUAAGAUAUGUUUACACAGGCUUUUAGUAAGUAUAUGGAAUGGUAAAGUGAGCUUUAAUACUUUCUUCUUUGCUCUCUGUAGCAGAGCAGAAGGGGUCCAAAACCAUGCACAAUUUAACAGUCCUGAAGAACUGUGUAAUCUUUACCUGGCUAGCAUAUGGAAAAAAUAAACUAUAUACAAGAAUACAAAACUCCUAAAGUGUUCUUCAACUAUCAACUGGUUAACUAAUUCAUACUUGCAAGAAGACAGGAUGUUUGUUCACUGGUAGAUUCUUGGUAAGUUUCAGGUAAAGAAGGUACAUAAAAUAUAUGUUAUUGAUGAAAAUGGAAGUGAUGCAGUAUACCCCAUGUUCUCAGGUUAAAUCGGCAGUAUCAGAAGCUAAGUCUCUUCUCCAGGACCUCCUUCAGGGACUGUGAGCUCCUUGAGGUCACUGCUCUGUCUCCACACCUGAGCACAGUACCUAACAUGUGGCAGGACUCAAUAAAAGGUGGGUCAAUGUAUUUCUGACACAAAACAAUUAAAUUGUGCCACCUUAUUUUGACUACAGUUAUUCAUAAGAGAGGAUAAUGAUGACUUUUUUAUCCUCUCAUUUUAAAUCAAUCUUGUAAACAAAAGACAAUUGCCUGUGAUAGCCUGUUAAGUUUUAGGAGUACAAUCUGGUGAAAAACACAGAAAAAAAACUGUAAAUCAAAUUGGAACAGGUCUAGUAUUUGUUUGCUAUGCUGAAAAUAAAGGCACUUCACUGCUAGGCAAGAAUAUAUCUGUGACUGAACAGUUUUCUCCAAGAAUCCAAUAUUUCCAGUAUAUUUUCAUAUACUUUCUUAUCUCUAAUACUCCUAUUAAAUGAAACUAUUCUUCAAAAUUAAAAGACAGUGAUGACAACAUCAUCAUCCUGGGUUUGUACCUUGAAGCAAUGUACUCAAUGAGCUCUAAAUCUCACAUUCACUAGUGAUCUGCAAGUGAAGCUGAAUAAAUAUAUUCUCUUUGUUCAGUCUUGGAAACUCAACAUUAGAAAUGACACAUGGGAAUAGAUCACCUUCUCUCUACACUAAUAUCCCAUUUCUGACAGUGGUCUCCACCGCCCAUUGGGCUUAUAAAGUAGCUGCCUUCUGUGACAAUUUGCUUUGAAGACAAAGGCUUUGCUCAAACAUAACUCCUUUAAAAAAAGCAUAACUUGUUUAGGCACACAGAGGUUAAGUGACUUACAUAAAUCCUCCCAGGAUUGUGAUUGGCACAGUCUAAUCUACUGAAAAACAUAAGGCCAGGCAAUUACAUAGGUAUUUUUUAACAAGUUAGUAAAAUAGUGGGGUCUUUUCUGGCUAAAAAUUGAAAUUAAAUGGUAUCAUGUUACUCUCUUAUAACUAAACAAACAAAAAAUCUAGAACAAGUACUUCGUGCUAGUUAUGGGUAAUGUAAAUACAGAGUAAGGUGAAGGAGGACUAUAUGUAUAUAUUUCCAACUUGAGAAGAUACUGGAAAGGAAAUUAAAAAUUAUUUGAACCAAUUAACCAGCCCUAAAGAAGUAUUCUUCUUUGUAUGAACUGAAAUAUCCAACAAUAAAAUAAAAUAGGCAUUGCCCAGCUUCCUUUAAUGUCUAAACUAGUAAAGUAAAAUAAACAUUAUUCAAAGGCAGACCAAACCAUUUCUAAUCUAAAUAUAUCUUCUUGCAUAUUAAAAUGACACACAUACAGAGCCUCUAAACAUGAUCUACUAUGUCUUUAAAAAAUUUCUCAGUGACACAUACUAGAGGGGACCAAACAAACUACUAAAGUAUAAGUACAUAUUUUAGCAUAACUGCUAAAUCACAAUGUAAUAAAAAGGUUUAUUAAAGAUUGCUAUUCUUUAAGCAAUUUUUCUAUACUAAGGAUUUAUGUAUGCAUGCAUAAGUAUACACAUGUAUGUAUAUAUAGCUAUUAUUUUAGUGAUAGUCUGUGUAUUUUACAUACCAGUGCCACCAAGGGGCAACCUUAUAAAUUUUAUGUGUAUGGCAAAAAAAUAAAAUAUCCUGAAAAUACAAGUAUACAAUACAUAUAGCAUUAAACAGUUGGUAACUUCCUAGGUUAACUUUUACCAAAUACAAAAUAACGGCAAUACAAUGGGGUUUGCUUCUAUUUUUUGUGUUUUUUUUAACCAGAAUGAUAAAAAUAAAACUGCAUUAUGUCAAGAUAUAUAUACACACUCAGAAUUUUAAAAACUUAAGGAACAUAUUGAAUUUUAGGCAAAAUUUAGGGGAAUUGGGACACAGAUGGAAAACACAUUUUGGUGAAAGGUCCUUGAGAAUGCUGCAUUACCAUGUCCUUAAGAAAUUUUCUAUCCAAAUUAGUGAUAGAAACUCAAAACAAAUAUCUUUUUUUGUGGGUUGGAGGUAGAAAUGAACAAAUCAAGCAAAUCUCUCCUUUCUACUCUCCCCAAAUCCAAACAUUCCUGCAUAUUUGAAAUAAAUUUUCCCUUCCUAGACCAGUUGCUUAAUUCGUUAUCUAUUUCUCCAAUAUUGAAUAAAUGUGUAUUUAGGGGCACACAUGUAGAAUAUUAAUCUACUUAAAUGGGCUCAAAUUCUAAGAAAAUGUUAACUAUACUAAAUGUUAUGGGAAGAAAAUGCCAUUGAAUAUGAAUUAAGGGCC
ensembl:lncRNA